rnacentral:rRNA from 1 species
GCCCUUUUCCGGUUGAUCCCGCCGGAGGCCAUUGCUAUCAGGGUUUGACUAAGCCAUGCGAGUCGAGAGGUGUAAGACCUCGGCAUACUGCUCAGUAACACGUGGUUAACCUGCCCUAAGGUGGAGAAUACUCCCGGGAAACUGGGGCUAAUGCUCCAUAGUGGAUAUGUCCUGGAAUGGUAUAUCCUCGAAAGAUCCGUCGCCUUAGGAUGGGACUGCGUCCGAUUAGGUUGUUGGCGGGGUAACGGCCCACCAAGCCAUUGAUCGGUACGGGUUGUGGGAGCAAGAUCCCGGAGAUGGAUUCUGAGACAUGAAUCCAGGCCCUACGGGGCGCAGCAGGCGCGCAAACUUUACAAUGCGAGCAAUCGUGAUAAGGAAACCCUGAGUGCCUGUCGAUGCAGGCUGUUCAUAUAUCUAAAUCAUAUGUGAAGAAAGGGCAGGGCAAGACCGGUGCCAGCCGCCGCGGUAAUACCGGCUGCUCGAGUGAUGGCCACUAUUACUGGGUUUAAAGCGUCCGUAGCUUGACUGUUAGGUCUCUUGGGAAAUCUUCACGCUCAACGUGAAGGCGUCUAAGAGAUACCGGCAGUCUUAGAACUGGGAGAGGUAAACCGUACUUCGGGGGUAGGAGUGAAAUCUUGUAAUCCUCGAGGGGACGACCUAUGGCGAAGGCAGUUUACCAGAACAGCUUCGACAGUGAGGGACGAAAGCUGGGGGAAGCAAACGG